rnacentral:lncRNA from 1 species
ACACUUUUCUGUCUAGAAAGUGACUUCCACAGCAAUCACAGCUCUCAGGAUUGUCUACUAAUGAGGAGAUGCUUCCUUUCUGAUGACGGGAAUCAGCACAUGAAGCUGAGUAAUUUUGAGGGAGCUCCCUGGUUUUAUGCUUUUUCCAUUACUAUUAACUAGUCCACUUGGUCCUUUCACAAUCACCCUCAUCUUUCCUGGAGAAGACCUUCUCUGGUGAAGCAGUUGGUGCAGUGGAACCUGCAGACCAUGAAGUCAGAUACUUGUGGGUAUCUGUCUUGGCCAUAGUCAAUCUACUGAAGUUUCAGUUUUUCACAUACGAAUGGGA